AACGUUCACCAGCACGAGGCUUCGAGCGGACAAAGCCAGAGGAAGGGGGGCCUGAUUGCAGGGGCGGAGCGAUCGCCCACUCCCUGGGGGAGUCUGUUCAGUGAGAAUCUGGACCAGCCAGUCUCAGAUGGCCUGACUUCAAACGGAGGAGUAUUUCCUGGGCAAGCGCUCAGCCUCCAGCCCCAAAGGCCCGGGGCAGGCAGGGGAAGGCUUUCCAAGUUCUCGGGCCCAGAGAUUUGUCAGAGGGCAAAGGAGAGGCAGCAGGAAUCAGAGAGGAAACAGCUCCAGCCUUGUAUCUCAAGAGAUUGUGGGAGUCUCUCCAUCCAUCCAUCUCGUCCUCCUCCCUCUCUCCUCCUCCUCCUCUCUUCUUCCUCCUCCCCCUCCUCUUCUUUCUCCUCCUCCUCCCCCUCCUCUUCCUCCUCCCUCUCUCUCUCCUCCUCCUCCCUCUCUCCUCCUCCUCUCUCUUCUUCCUCCUCCUCCUCCCUCUCUCUCCUCCUCCUCCCUCUCUCUCCUCCUUCUCCUCCUCCCCCUCUCCUCCUCCUCUUUCUCUCUCUUCCUCCUCCUCCUCCUCCUCCUCCUCCUUCCUCUCUCUCCUCCUUCUCCUCCUCCUUUCUCUCCUCCUCUCCUCUUCCUCUUUCUCUCUCCUCCUCCUUCCUCUCUCUCUCUCUCUCUCUCCUCCUCCUCCUCCUCCUCCUCCUCCUCCUCCUCCUCCUCCUCCUCCUUCUCCCUCUCUCCUUCCUCCUUGGCAGCUUCAGAGUCAUCUCCUGCCCUUUCUCCUUCAGGGACCAGGCUGGCACAGGUGGGCAGGUUUGGGCUUCCGAUAGCCAUUUGGGACCCUUUCCAGCUCUUUCUAAAGAGGACCAACAGGGCGAGAGGCCACUCUACUUCCCAGGAUGUUUUGGGUGGGCCUUUGCUGUGGGCUCUCUGGUACCCCCUCCCACCCUCAGGGGCAUAGAUGGCCCAGGGAGGCCUGCAGAGGCCAUGGAGCUCAGCUCUCUGAUUUGCCAGACAUGUUGGCUGGGGCAGGUGGGGGAGAAGGCGGGCAGGAGCCGGGCCCAGAGGAGCAAAGGCUGGCCUCUGAGCUGGGCGGCGCAGGGCCAAGUGUCCAUCCCAGUGGCCUGGCUGGGCAGGGAAGGCGAACCAUCCCGGGUCUCUGAGCUCCAGCUUCCUCCUUUGAGAAGUGGAGAGUCCGGCCCUGCCCCUGGCACCGCCUGCUCUGAGGAUGUCUAA
rnacentral:lncRNA from 1 species